UUGCUGCAGUUAAAAAGCUCGUAGUUGAAUGUCCGGCGUCUCUGACGUCUGCCCGAAUCGACUUUAGAUGCCGAAAGGUUUUUACUGCUCGAUCUGGCGUUUACUGUGAACAAAUUAGAGUGCUCAAGACAGGCUUUUGCUUGAAUUUUCUAGCAUGGAAUAAUGAAAUACGACUUCGCUCAUUUUAUUGGUUAUUGGACGAAGUAAUGGUUAACAGGAACAGUUGGGGGCAUUCGUACUUAAGAGUCAGAGGUGAAAUUCUUAGAUUUCUUAAAGACGAACUAAUGCGAAGGCAUUUGCCAAGGAUGUUUUCAUUAAUCAAGAACGAAAGCGUUGGGAUCAAAAAGGAUCAGAUACCCUUGUAGUCAACGCCGUAAACGAUACUGACUAGGGAUUGGUGAGGCUAACCCUCAUCAGCACCUAAUGAGAAAUCAAAGUCUUUGAGUUCUGGGGAGAGUAUGGUCGCAAGGCUGAAACUUAAAGGAAUUGACGGAAAGAUACACAAGUCGUGGAUUCUGCGGCUUAAUUUGAUUUAACACGGGAAAACUUACGCAGGCAAAAAGCUAAAAGGAUUGACAGCUUGAUAGCACUUUCUUGAUAUGGCAGCGAGUGGUGCAUGGCCGUUCUUAG
rnacentral:rRNA from 1 species